CAGUCUAGCCUGCCCUGCUGUCAUGCGUUAACGUGUUGUUUCCUGCACGGGUCUGUUUUGAUCAUCUCGCCGUGUAAAUAAAUUUUCCUACAGGUGACCCGAAUGUCAUGUCUGCUUUGGUUCAUCUUACAGAUGUGUUGGCCCAGCUCUGUCACCAAAACAAGGAUUAGUAUCAAAGGGAAACACAAGGAUGUUUUCACUGGCUCUGUUCUCAUCAAUUAAAAGCAUCACCACACAUAUCUGUUUGACACACUGGAUGAUGGCUUCUGGGGCCCCUGAGAUUGUCACUGCCCUCUCGGUGGAGUUGGGGAGCAUGUCCCCUGCAACCUGGACCUGAGCUCCUGUGGACUAAAGAGCCUCCUUUUCCAAUGAGGGAGCCACACUGGCUGGCCGGGACAACGAGCCUCAGGGUUACAGGUGGUUUACUGGUGGCUGGACUGUUGCUCAUAGAGUUGAUUAUAUCCUGAGGGGAGGGAAAAAAUGGUUAUAUCUGACAAAUUCAGCAGUAAUUACUGGAUUUGCAUUGGUGGCUUUCGUAGAAAUACUACCUCCAAGUAGCUCUUCAGAUUGUACACACUUGCCAUUACUAGUGUAGCUCUGUUAUGUUCUUCAUAUAUUAAUAUUUGUCAUUAUGCUU